rnacentral:rRNA from 1 species
UGGGGAAUAUUGGACAAUGGGGGAAACCCUGAUCCAGCAAUGCCGCGUGAGUGAUGAAGGCCUUAGGGUUGUAAAGCUCUUUUACCCGGGAUGAUAAUGACAGUACCGGGAGAAUAAGCCCCGGCUAACUCCGUGCCAGCAGCCGCGGUAAUACGGAGGGGGCUAGCGUUGUUCGGAAUUACUGGGCGUAAAGCGCACGUAGGCGGCUUUGUAAGUUAGAGGUGAAAGCCCGGGGCUCAACUCCGGAAUUGCCUUUAAGACUGCAUCGCUUGAAUUGUGGAGAGGUAAGUGGAAUUCCGAGUGUAGAGGUGAAAUUCGUAGAUAUUCGGAAGAACACCAGUGGCGAAGGCGACUUACUGGACACAUAUUGACGCUGAGGUGCGAAAGCGUGGGGAGCAAACA